rnacentral:rRNA from 1 species
AUUGAACGCUGGCGGCAGGCCUAACACAUGCAAGUCGAACGAGUGGCGGACGGGUGAGUAAUGUCUGGGACACUGCCUGAUGGAGAGGGAUAACUACUGGAAACGGUAGCUAAUACCGCAUACCAUCAGAUGUGCCCAGAUGGGAUUAGCUAGUAGGUGGGGUAACGGCUCACCAAGGAGACGAUCACUAGCUGGUCUGAGAGGAUGACCAGCCAAACUGGAACUGAGACACGGGCCAGACUCCUACGGGAGGAAGCAGUGGGGAAUAUGGCACAAUGGGCGCAAGCCUGAUGCAGCCAUGCCGCGUGUGUGAAGAAGGCCGUCGGGUUGUAAAGCACUUUCAGCGGGGAGGCGUUACCCGCAGAAGAAGCACCGGCUAACUCCGUGCCAGCAGCCGCGGUAAUUC